CCCAGCGUUUGUUUACUAGAACAGUCACGUGAGGUGCCGCGUGACUCCCGAGGACUGAGUCACACCGGAAGAUCUGAUGGGGCGCCGGGGUCGGAGCGGGGUCAACCUGUGGACAGUCUCUCUUGGCCCAGCGGCCCCCCCGGGGGGGGGGAAUGAAGGGAGGGGCUCCCAGGCCGGCUUCUCCCCUUCCCAGGGUCUCUGCCCCGGCCUCACAGACUGGGACACACAGGGAGUUCCAGGAAGGGAAGGGGCGUCUAGGACAGAAAGCGGGUCUAGAAGGAGCAACCUGGGGUCAUCAGACCGCGCCUCUCAGCUGGGCUUCUGGACCGAUGGGGGCUGGGUCGUCAAGAGUGACAGAGGGAGAAGCGUGUCGCAGGUUUGGAGAGAGGAUGGGGCAGCAUCCUGGGAGGAGCACUGGAGGAAAGACCCAAGAUUCUGUGCCCAAGAGGUGGAGCCUGGGGAACGUGGGCUUUCAGAAAGUUGGUACCUGGAAAGAUAGCUGCAUGGACUUGCUGCCAGACCACCAGGCUUUAAAUCUCGACCUCGCCACUUGCUGGCUGUGUGACCUUGGGGGCCUCAGUUUCCUUAUCUGUAAAAUGGGUUCAAAAUAACAGCUUCCAGCAGAUUCCGGGUGGGGGGCGGGGGGAAUCUAACUCCAGCCCAGCAACUGCACUUGGCCAAUCUCCUGCCAGAUUCGGUGGCAAGAGGAAGGUGGCAGCCAAUGAAGAGGCCUGGAGCUUGCGUCAUCAUCCUGGAGCCAGGUUGGAAUAACCAGAAGCAGGAGCACUCGACCGUUUCCAUGGUGACCUCCCUUAGCAACCUGACUGGGCCUAUUUAUGAGCACUGGAAAAUUCCAUCGGGCUGAGGCCUGAUUUUGUUACCUUCUCAGCCUCCUUCCUGUUCCAAGGCAGGAAUGAAGUCACUGCGGAUGUUUAACCCUUUCCCGAGAUGAGCCCGGUGCCAGUCCGACCCGAGGGCCUGGGAGGGGGACGGCGUGCCACGCACUGUGCUUAGUGCUGCAGGGGAGGGAAGUUGCUGGUCAUAGUGACAGCCACCAUUUAUAGGGUACAUCAUUUGGGCCAGGCACUGUAUUAAGCUGCUGACAACCUCACAACCGUGACAACGGGGAGCUACACAGACGGUUCCUAGUUCACUGAGGAAAAAAACAUGAUUCAGAGAGGUUAAGUAACUUGGCAGUGUCACAGAGCACAGGCAGCACUGGAGGAACAAGGCUCCGACCAAGUGUGUGGGACUCUUAGCGCCACUCUCUUCAUGACUCCUCUGUAUAAUGCUUGCGGCGGGGCAGGCAGGACCCGACGGGGUGGAGGACGGGAGGGAGAUAGCCAUGGUCUUCAGGGGAGAUUCCCAAGGAGGGCGACGUUUAGGUUGCGUGAAAGAACAGGGAGGAAUACCUGCUGGUUCUAGGACACUACAGUUGCCAGGUUGGAGUUGAGGGGCUGGUGGGCGAGUCCAGCCUACACACAUUCCUGCCUGACUUCUGCUGGGGCAGUGCUGCUUUGGGGGGGGUGGAGCAGAUCUGGGGAACCAGUGGCUGGAAAGUGGAGUCGCCUGGACCAGCCCAAGCCAGAGGCCACACAGGACCGGCUGCGUGGAUGGCGCAUAAGCCACGCACAGAGCUGCUCUCAGCUGAGAUAGGGCUCUAGGCAGACUGGGACUCUGCAAUGCUAAACAAUAAAUACGCCAUAGCUUAAGGGAACAGCAGAUGAGUCACUGGAGGAAGGGUGUGAUCGCAGGAGUGCUGCUGAGGUCACUGGACCACAAGGGCGACACGACAGACUGACCAUUCAGCAGGGAAGGCCUCCUGCAGGAGGAAAGGGGCCUGCCUAGCUCCAGAAGUUGGGGGGGAGUCUCUGACUGGCAGGGAGAACGGGCAUGUCCUUGUGGGAGAGGUGGCAGAUGUCCACAAACUAGGGGUGAUGGUAGUAAAUAGGGCUGGAAGUAGGGACACAGAAAGGACACGACUGAUUGAGUGUUAUGGCCCAGGUUCAGGGUGGGGCAGUAGGUGAUAAAGAUCCAGGAUGAGGAAGGGUGACCCUUUGUAACCUCUCUACAGCCUCUGUCCACACCUUGGACCUCAGUGGUCUUUGCCUAAGCAGAACAGUCAUGGAAAUUUCCACCUAGGUCCUUUUCUCAAAGCUGUUCUCAGGUCCACCUUCUUCCCAGGCCCUGCUGUGUCCACAGUUCUCUUGCUCCUGUAGGCUGUGACUGAGGGGCCUGGGGCAGCCCGAGAGACUUGGUGACAGCCAAAGAAGAUUCGUGUGGCAUGAACUUGUCCGAAUGCCCGGCACAGGGGAUCAGGCUGUCCCCACACUGACGGGCCCGGAGGCCCCAGGGAGGGAGAGUGACGGCUUCCGCCAUCACUGCAGCAUUCUUGAGCUGGGGCAGCUCCACGUGGGUGUCUCUCCCCCACAGUACAGGGUAGCAGUGCUGAAACAGGCCCUGAGUAUUGGGGGUACCCCACUUCUGCUCCUGAGGAAUUAUCUGGAUGCUCUAUUUUCUUUGGGGGGGGUGUCGCAUUUUGUAUAUUUCUAGAAGCUCCGAAGUGGAAGAGUGACUUCUGUGGAGAGGGUGGGGCUGGGAAGACACUGGAAGUUCACUCUUCCCUCUCCCCCAGCUUCCCCACACUGGGCUUCCAGCUCCACCCCAGCGGGGAAUGCAGGGACCAGACCAGACAGAAUGGAGCCACCUUCCUCUGCAGCUGGGGAGGGACUGUCCCUCAAGGAGGCUGGCGCAGACCUGUCUCUCCCCUGUCUGUGCGUGAGGGAGCCCUUGGCUCCUUGGGCCCCACUUUCAGGCUCUAGAAGUGGCACCUCACCCUCCCUGCCAGCCCGGCUGUCAACCCCGGAGUACCCUGACCUUCAGAGGAGCAAGAGGAACAUAACACCCAUCAGUAUCCAGGAAAAUAUAGGCUGUGUUGUGGCAGGGUCACUAUGAGGUGGUGACAUGAGAUGACUGGGAUAUGCUGGUCAGAGGGGCCCUUCCCGAGGAGUGAUGUCUAGGCAGGGUGACGAGAAUGAGUGUCCUCUGAAGAAUUGAGGAGGUACCUGCCAAACAGAGGUGUCAUCGACAGGAAAGAACAUGAGUCUGGAAAGGGCCAGAGGAGCUGAGGAGCCAGAGAGGAGGACAGCAGAGUGGGGAGCCCAGAGAGCCUGAGGCCGACUUCUCUGUCUUCUUUGUCUUGUCCCGUGGCCACCACCCACCCCCAUCCAGGCCUCCAUGACCUCUGACUUGGGCUCUGACAAGGGACUCCACGGCUCUCCCAUGUGCCAUCUCUCCCAGCUCAGCCACCUUGUAAACAGCAGCCCCACACUACUUUCCACGCCAGGGCCUCUCCCAGUUCAGAGAGGCCCAAAGAGCAGAGCCCAAACCUCUCCUCCAGCACCCUUCCCUUCAGGACUCAAGCAGCACAGCAAACGACUGAAAACCUCACAGGAUGACCGAGCUGCUUUUUCACAAGUGACUCUGGCCAGGAGGACAUUCCAGGUCGGGGAGCCCUUUGUCCUUCACAGCCCCUCUAGUGCUCCGUGGUCAGUCAGUCACACUGCCCUUGCUGAGCCUGGGCCACACAUGCCCCUUCCCUAUUCUGCGUGGGGUCUUAACUCCAGAAGAGAUGCUUUUCCCACGUAAUCACUUAGCUGUUAUUCGACAGACACACCUAGAUCUUCUAUUGUGGGCCAGGCACGAGCGCUGGCGACAGAGUCAUCCUAGGCCUCAGUUUGCUCAUCGGUCUCAGGGAGAGCAGCUGCACCUCCCUCACAGGGAACGGGGGUGAGAACUGAAAGGAGAUUAUGCACGGAAAGUCGAUCUCAAGAAAAGUCACAGGAAACGAGGCCGUGUGCUGUAUUUACUGUCCUGCGGACGCAUCCGGGGACCACGGAGGGGCCGAGGAAAGCACAGCAGACUGUUCUCUGCUGGGGAGAGGAGGCCUGUAGAAAGUCUCCACUGAAGACUAAUUGGGGCAAGAGGAGUGGCCAGAGGGAGGAGGACAGCCUGGGGAAAGAAGGUCUAGAAAGGCUGGGGGGAAGCCUGUGAGGGGCCUCGCCGAGCUCUGAAGUUGGGGAGAUGGAGCAGAAGCAGCUCCCCUAGAGAGCCAUGUUCUGUCCUUUGUUGUCACUCUGUCCUCUAACGGCCCGUGGUGCUACAGCUGGGCUGCCAUUGCCACCCUUCCAGCAAGAUCCCCAAACAGGCAGCAGGGCCCAGCGCCAAGGACAUUAUGUGGUGAAUAAACUAAAGAAGGGAACUAGCAGCAGGGAGCUCAUGGGCUGGGGGUGGGGGAACCCUUCUUCCAAGAUACUUUCUCCUUUGUUACCCCCAGAAAGAGUAAGGGAAACAUUCUCCUGUUGUCUUCCUGAGAGAAGCAUCCAUUUUCUCACUGUACGUUCCUCUAAGAUGCAGAGGCUUCCCUUCCCUGUGAGACACAAUCCUCUUUCUGGGGAAGGCCAAUGACAUGGCGGCCUGUAGUCUUGCUAACUUGUUUUUGCUGGAAUUGCCCUCAGCUCUCUGUAAGGUAAUAGUGUGUCUGGUGGGUGUCAGGGGUUGUUUUCAGACCUCCACCGUACGUUUUUAGCUGUUCAAAAUCCCUUAGAGGAGCGCCUGGGUAGCGCAGUCUUUAAGCGUCUGCCUUCAGCUCAGGGCGUGAUCCCACCGUUCUGGGAUCGAGUCCCACAUCGGGCUCGAGUCCCACAUCGGGCUCCUCUACUGGGAGC